AGUAGCCGCGGUAAUUCCAGCUCCAAUAGCGUAUAUUAAAGUUGUUGCAGUUAAAAAGCUCGUAGUUGAAUUUCGGGAUCAAUAUGCUGGUCGUGCCAUUGGUACGUACUAGUAUUAUUGGUUUCUUCCUUCUGAUGAAUCAUGAUGUCAUUAAGUUGAUGUCAUGGGGAAUCAGGACUGUUACUUUGAAAAAUUAGAGUGUUUAAAGCAGGCUCGCGUUUGAAUACAUUAGCAUGGAAUAAUGAAAUAGGACGUUUGAUUCUAUUUUGUUGGUUUCUAGAAUUGACGUAAUGAUUAAUAGGGAUAGUUGGGGGCAUUAGUAUUCAAUUGUCAGAGGUGAAAUUCUUGGAUUUAUUGAAGACUAACUACUGCGAAAGCAUUUGCCAAGGAUGUUUUCAUUAAUCAAGAACGAAAGUUAGGGGAUCGAAGACGAUUAGAUACCGUCGUAGUCUUAACCAUAAACUAUGCCGACUAGGGAUCGGAUGAUGUAAUUUUUAAUGACUC
rnacentral:rRNA from 1 species